GGGACUGAGACACGGCCCAGACUCCUACGGGAGGCAGCAGUGGGGAAUAUUGCACAAUGGGCGGAAGCCUGAUGCAGCGACGCCGCGUGAGGGAUGACGGCCUUCGGGUUGUAAACCUCUUUCAGCAGGGAAGAAGCUUUUGUGACGGUACCUGCAGAAGAAGCACCGGCUAACUACGUGCCAGCAGCCGCGGUAAUACGUAGG
rnacentral:rRNA from 1 species